GACAGUGGAACUCCAUGUGUAGCGGUGAAAUGCGUAGAUAUAUGGAAGAACACCCAGUGGCGAAGGCGGCUGUCUGGUCUGUAACUGACGCUGAGGCUCGAAAGUAUGGGGAGCAAACAGGAUUAGAUACCCUGGUAGUCCAUACCGUAAACGAUGAAUGGUAAGUGUUGGAGGGUUUUCGCCCUUCAGUGGUGCAGGUAACGCCUUAAGCAAUCCGCCUGGGGAGUACGGCCGCAAGGGUGAAACUCAAAGGAAUUGACGGGGGCCCGCACAAGCGGUGGAGCAUGUGGUUUAAUUUGAAGCUACGCGAAGAACCUUACCAGGUCUUGACAUUCUUUGCACAUCUUAGAGAUUAGACUUUCCCUUUGGGGGCAAAGAUACAGGUGGUGCAUGGUUGUUGUCAGCUCGUGUCGUGAGAUGUUGGGUUAAGUCCCGCAACGAGCGCAACCCUUAUUUUUAGUUGCCAUCAUUAAGUUGGGCACUUUUGCGAGACUGCCGGUGACAAACCGGAGGAAGGUGGGGAUGACGUCAAAUCAUCCUGCCCCUUAUGACCUGGGCUACCCCCGUGGUACAAUGGGAAGUACAACGAGUUGCGAACUCGCGAGGGUAAGGUAAUUUUUUAAAGCCUUUUUCAGUUUGGAUUGUAGGGUGCAACUUGCCUACCUGAAGUCGGAAUCGCUAGUAAUCGCGGAUCAGCCUGCCGCGGUGAAUACGUUCCCGGGCCUUGUACCCCCCCCCCGUCCCCCCCUGAGAGUUUUAACCCCCAAAGUCGGUGGGGUAACCUUUAGGAGCCAGCCGCCUAAGGUGGACAGAUGAUGGGGGAAGUCGAGCAGG
rnacentral:rRNA from 1 species